rnacentral:rRNA from 1 species
CCUACGGGAGGCUGCAGUGGGGGAUAUUGGACAAUGGGGGGAACCCUGAUCCAGCCAUGCCGCGUGUGUGAAGAAGGCCCUCGGGUUGUAAAGCACUUUCAGUGAGGAAGAACGCCUGGUGGUUAAUACCCAUCAGGAAAGACAUCACUCACAGAAGAAGCACCGGCUAACUCCGUGCCAGCAGCCGCGGUAAUACGGAGGGUGCGAGCGUUAAUCGGAAUUACUGGGCGUAAAGCGCGCGUAGGUGGCUUGAUAAGCCGGUUGUGAAAGCCCCGGGCUCAACCUGGGAACGGCAUCCGGAACUGUCAAGCUAGAGUGCAGGAGAGGAAGGUAGAAUUCCCGGUGUAGCGGUGAAAUGCGUAGAGAUCGGGAGGAAUACCAGUGGCGAAGGCGGCCUUCUGGACUGACACUGACACUGAGGUGCGAAAGCGUGGGUAGCAAACAGGAUUAGAUACCCUGGUAGUC